rnacentral:piRNA from 1 species
UCACAUACUGUUGGUCGUCGGACGUUCC